rnacentral:rRNA from 1 species
UACGGGGGGGGGCAAGCGUUGUUCGGAAUUACUGGGCGUAAAGGGCUCGUAGGCGGCCAACUAAGUCAUACGUGAAAUCCCUCGGCUUAACCGGGGAACUGCGUCUGAUACUGGAUGGCUUGAGUUCGGGAGAGGGAUGCGGAAUUCCAGGUGUAGCGGUGAAAUGCGUAGAUAUCUGGAGGAACACCGGUGGCGAAGGCGGCAUCCUGGACCGAUACUGACGCUGAGGAGCGAAAGCCAGGGGAGCAAACGGG